rnacentral:tRNA from 1 species
UACCAAUUUUUAUUUCAUGGUUCUAUAGUUUACUUAUAUAAAAUAUUAAAUUGCAAAUUUAAAGA